GGGUGGUUCACUGGUUGAGCGUCUGCCUUUGGCUCAGGGUGUGAUUCCGGGGUCCCAGGAUCGAGUCCCACAUCGGGCUCCCUGCAUGGAGCCUGCUUCUCCUUCUGCCUGGGUCUCUGCCUUUCUCUGUGUGUCUCUCAUGAAUAAAUAAAUAAAAUCUUUAAAAAAAUAAAUGCUAUAUAAGCAAGCAUAACAUCAGUCCUUUACUCAAGAUUUCUUAUGACCUUUUAGGUGUUCAAUGACCAUGGGAUCUCUGGACGGUGCUGUGUACAACAUGCUGUGGACCGAGGGCCUCAAAGUUCAAUGGGGACUAAGACUUCCUAACAUCUCAGUGACCCCCCGCCUACAGAUAUAAGAAACUCAGCUCGGAAUAUACGUGUUUAUGGAUGACGACUGACUGUGCCUAUCCUGUCCUUCGGACUUCAGCUCAAUCCUAAUCCCUUUCAGAGAAGUAUCACUUGACAUCUCAAAAGCAGUAAAACCCUCUUUGGCACUUGUGACAUUUGCUUUUUUACAUGGACUUUUAUGAUUUUUUUUAAUGCUAAAUUUUAAGCUCUAGGAGAGCAGAGAACAUGUCUGGUUUUGUUCAUGUUUGCAUACCCAAUUCUCACCCAGGGCCUCAAAAACAAAUGUCAGGCAUAUAACAUAUAUAUACUGAACCCCUAACUGAGCCUAGUGUCUGUACCUCACAGAAAAAAAAAUCAGACUUCCACCUCACUGCCCUUUUUCUCACUUCUUUCA
rnacentral:lncRNA from 12 species